rnacentral:rRNA from 1 species
ACGGAAGGCAGCAGUGAGGAAUAUUGGUCAAUGGACGGAAGCCUGACCCAGCAACGCCGCGUGAAGGAAGAAGGUCUUCGGAUUGUAAACUUCUUUUAUGAGGGACGAAGGACGUGACGGUACCUCAUGAAUAAGCCACGGCUAACUACGUGCCAGCAGCCGCGGUAAUACGUAGGUGGCGAGCGUUAUCCGGAUUUACUGGGUGUAAAGGGCGCGUAGGCGGGGAUGCAAGUCAGGUGUGUAAUCUAUGGGCUUAACUCAUAAACUGCACUUGAAACUGUAUCUCUUGAGUGCUGGAGAGGUAGAUGGAAUUCCUUGUGUAGCGGUGAAAUGCGUAGAUAUAAGGAAGAACACCAGUGGCGAAGGCGAUCUACUGGACAGUACCUGACGCUGAGGCGCGAGAGCGUGGGGAGCAAACAGGAUUAGAUACCCUGGUA